CGCUGGCGGCGUGCUUAACACAUGCAAGUCGAACGAUGAUGCCCAGCUUGCUGGGCGGAUUAGUGGCGAACGGGUGAGUAAUACGUGAGUAACCUGCCCUUGACUCUGGGAUAAGCCUGGGAAACUGGGUCUAAUACUGGAUACUACUGUCCAUCGCAUGGUGGGUGGUGGAAAGGGUUUUACUGGUUUUGGAUGGGCUCACGGCCUAUCAGCUUGUUGGUGGGGUAAUGGCUCACCAAGGCGACGACGGGUAGCCGGCCUGAGAGGGUGACCGGCCACACUGGGACUGAGACACGGCCCAGACUCCUACGGGAGGCAGCAGUGGGGAAUAUUGCACAAUGGGCGGAAGCCUGAUGCAGCGACGCCGCGUGAGGGAUGACGGCCUUCGGGUUGUAAACCUCUUUCAGUAGGGAAGAAGCGAGAGUGACGGUACCUGCAGAAGAAGCGCCGGCUAACUACGUGCCAGCAGCCGCGGUAAUACGUAGGGCGCAAGCGUUGUCCGGAAUUAUUGGGCGUAAAGAGCUCGUAGGCGGUUUGUCGCGUCUGCUGUGAAAGCCCGGGGCUCAACCCCGGGUCUGCAGUGGGUACGGGCAGACUAGAGUGCAGUAGGGGAGACUGGAAUUCCUGGUGUAGCGGUGAAAUGCGCAGAUAUCAGGAGGAACACCGAUGGCGAAGGCAGGUCUCUGGGCUGUUACUGACGCUGAGGAGCGAAAGCAUGGGGAGCGAACAGGAUUAGAUACCCUGGUAGUCCAUGCCGUAAACGUUGGGCACUAGGUGUGGGGGACAUUCCACGUUUUCCGCGCCGUAGCUAACGCAUUAAGUGCCCCGCCUGGGGAGUACGGCCGCAAGGCUAAAA
rnacentral:rRNA from 1 species